GUUUCCACUAAUGACGAGUAGUAUGUACAGUCACAUAGCAUUUAGGCUAAUGUUAGCCUUGAGAAAUAAAUCCACUGGGAGGAUUCGAGACAGCCAGCCUUUCAGCACAUCCAGCAAUGUGGGCUACAUGGGGACCCUCCAAAGUACCCUAGGGCUUUGAAACAUUCCUGUACAGAAGCCCUGAGGUGUGUCAGAGACCAUCAUCAGUGACGUAGCUAUGUACUUGUUGUCUUUCUGGGAAAAUGUUUCUGUUUCUCUGCUUAUUUCUCUUAUUUUCCAUUGAGCUCCACUCCAUAUUGACAUAAUGUUCUUUUCGGGCAACAUGAUUUUUAACUUGGUUGAGCCGCUAACUAGUUGAGACCUUAAUUUCUUUUCUUUGAGUGUCUAUUCCUGUUCCCAAAAAGUGAAAUCAUUGAAUGAGUUGAUUUCUAAGUCUUCUUCCGUUUCCUUAAAUAGAUACUCUAAAGAUCUACACAAUCUGUCUUUUUUUUUUUUUUUUUGAGUUAUGCCUGCGGUGAAUAUGCUUGACCUUGUCAUUAUGUGAUUAUUCAAUAAUUUAUUUCAAGCAAGUUUCCGAAAAUAGACCUUCCGUUGCCAGAGUAGGUACACUCUAAAGGCUUUUUAUAGAUUUCAUCAGAUGGUUUCCAGGCAGGAUUUCCAUUCUCCUCUCUGCCAGCACUGGGACUAUCUGUCUUUUUUCUGUGGCAUUAGAGCCUAUGAUGACAAUUGCCAAAGAGCUGAUUCCAGAGAAGAUCUUAAAGUCUAAGAUCUAAGUGAGGCUAAUGAUUAUAGUUUAACUUCAGAAGCAUUUAUCAAGCUCCUACAGGGUAGCCAUACUGUCUGGGAGCUUAGGUGAAGAUCCAUACUCCAUGGUUGCCCUUGAUCAGUUUAGAGUGCAGUGUGCGGCGCACACUCAAAGAGGACACCACACGCUAGUGCAGAAUUCUUACCAACCCCUGCACCUGUGCCUGCUCUGUGUUUCUGCAGGUAUUUGUGAGUCUAGUUCUCACUGAAUAAACCAUUUUUAGCAUGUCCCAGAAGAAAUAAUCAAG
rnacentral:lncRNA from 1 species